rnacentral:rRNA from 1 species
GGAAUUGUUCGCAAUGGGCGCAAGCCUGACGACGCAACGCCGCGUGGAGGAUGAAGGUCUUCGGAUUGUAAACUCCUGUUGCCCGGGACGAAUGACUUCGACCUAACACGUCGGCGUGUGACGGUCCCGGGUGAGGAAGCCCCGGCUACCUCUGUGCCAGCAGCCGCGGUAAUACAGAGGGGGCAAGCGUUGUUCGGAAUUACUGGGCGUAAAGGGCGCGUAGGCGGCCCGCUAAGUCGAACGUGAAAUCCCCGGGCUCAACCCGGGAACUGCGUCCGAGACUGGCGGGCUCGAAUCCGGGAGAGGGAUGUGGAAUUCCAGGUGUAGCGGUGAAAUGCGUAGAUAUCUGGAGGAACAUCGGUGGCGAAGGCGGCAUCCUGGACCGGCAUUGACGCUGAGGCGCGAAAGCCAGGGGAGCAAAC